rnacentral:rRNA from 1 species
UCCCAGACUCCUACGGGAGGCAGCAGUGGGGAAUAUUGGGCAAUGGAGGAAACUCUUACCCAGCAAUGCCGCGUGAAUGAAGAAGGUCUUCGGAUUGUAAAGUUCUUUAAUUGGGGACGAAAAAAAUGACGGUACCCAAGGAAUAAGCCCCGGCUAACUACGUGCCAGCAGCCGCGGUAAUACGUAGGGGGCAAGCGUUAUCCGGAUUUACUGGGUGUAAAGGGAGCGUAGACGGCAUAGCAAGUCUGAAGUGAAAGCCCGUGGCUCAACCGCGGAACUGCUUUGGAAACUGUUAAGCUGGAGUACUGGAGAGGCAAGCGGAAUUCCUAGUGUAGCGGUGAAAUGCGUAGAUAUUAGGAGGAACACCAGUGGCGAAGGCGGCUUGCUGGACAGAGACUGACGUUGAGGCUCGAAAGCGUGGGGAGCAAACAGGAUUAGAUACCCGGGUACCU